rnacentral:rRNA from 1 species
UACGUAGGGUGCGAGCGUUGUCCGGAAUUAUUGGGCGUAAAGGGCUCGUAGGCGGUUUGUCGCGUCAGGAGUGAAAACUCGGGGCUUAACCCCGAGCCUGCUUCUGAUACGGGCAGACUAGAGGUAUGCAGGGGAGAACGGAAUUCCUGGUGUAGCGGUGAAAUGCGCAGAUAUCAGGAGGAACACCAAUGGCGAAGGCAGCUCGCUGGGACGGUACUGACGCUGAGACGCGAAAGCGUGGGGAGCAAACAGG